rnacentral:rRNA from 1 species
AUUGAACGCUGGCGGCAUGCCUUACACAUGCAAGUCGAACGGUAACGCGGGGCAACCUGGCGACGAGUGGCGAACGGGUGAGUAAUGUAUCGGAACGUGCCCAGUUGUGGGGGAUAACUGCUCGAACGAGCAGCUAAUACAGCAUGCGACCUGAGGGAGAAAGCUGGGGAUCGCAAGACCUCGCGCAAUUGGAGCGGCCGAUAUCGGAUUAGGUAGUUGGUGGGGUCAAGGAUCACCAAGCCAACGAUCUGUAGCUGGUCUGAGAGGACGACCAGCCCCACUGGGACUGAGGCACGGCCCAGACUCCUACGGGAGGCAGCAGUGGGGAAUUUUGGACAAUGGACGCAAGUCUGAUCCAGCCAUGCCGCGUGCGGGAAGAAGGCCUUCGGGUUGUAAACCGCUUUUGUCAGGGAAGAAACGCUCUGGGUUAAUACCUCGGGGUAAUGACGGUACCUGAAGAAUAAGCACCGGCUAACUACGUGCCAGCAGCCGCAGUAAGAC